AAUAACAACAAUUAUACGAUCUUGCAUAAAAUGCUCAGCAAGUAUACUGUUAUUGUUCCCAGAUUCAUGCAAUGAAUUGAAUGCUGUGUUCAAUUUCUGUUUAAGUCUUUGUGUCCUCUCUUCAAAGCUUUCUGGCUUUUGCUGAGUAUAAAUCAUUCCACUAUCUUCUGAAUAACUUAUAUCCAUGUCUUCUUGAACAACAGUGGUAGAAUCAGGACUAUUAUGCACAUCGAAUUCUAUGACACUCAAUGUUUCUUCAUCGUCAGUUUCCUUUGCAAAAC